UACGAAGGGAGCUAGCGUUGUUCGGAAUCACUGGGCGUAAAGCGCACGUAGGCGGAUGUGUCAGUCAGGGGUGAAAUCCCGGAGCUCAACUUCGGAACUGCCUUUGAUACUGGCGAUCUUGAGUCCGGGAGAGGUGAGUGGAACUGCGAGUGUAGAGGUGAAAUGCGCAGAUAUCAGGAGGAACACCGGUGGCGAAGGCGGUUCUCUGGGCCUUACCUGACGCUGAGGAGCGAAAGCAUGGGGAGCAAACAGG
rnacentral:rRNA from 1 species